UGCGCCUUGCCAGCCCGCUCAGAAACUCAAAGGAAUUGACGGGGGCCCGCACAAGCGGCGGAGCAUGUGGAUUAAUUCGAUGCAACGCGAAGAACCUUACCUGGGUUUGACAUACACCGGAAAACCGUAGAGAUACGGUCCCCCUUGUGGUCGGUGUACAGGUGGUGCAUGGCUGUCGUCAGCUCGUGUCGUGAGAUGUUGGGUUAAGUCCCGCAACGAGCGCAACCCUUGUCUUAUGUUGCCAGCACGUAAUGGUGGGGACUCGUAAGAGACUGCCGGGGUCAACUCGGAGGAAGGUGGGGACGACGUCAAGUCAUCAUGCCCCUUAUGUCCAGGGCUUCACACAUGCUACAAUGGCCAGUACAGAGGGCUGCGAGACCGUGAGGUGGAGCGAAUCCCUUAAAGCUGGUCUCAGUUCGGAUCGGGGUCUGCAACUCGACCCCGUGAAGUCGGAGUCGCUAGUAAUCGCAGAUCAGCAUGCCGGGGUGAAUACGUUCCCGGGCCUU
rnacentral:rRNA from 1 species